GUGUUUGUGAGAGACUAAGGGAGGUGUUUGUGGUGUUUGUGAGAGAGACUAAGGGAGGUGUUUGUGAGAGAGACUAAGGGAGGUGUUUGUGGUGUUUGUGAGAGAGACUAAGGGAGGUGUUUGUGGUGUUUGUG